rnacentral:rRNA from 1 species
AGAUUGAACGCUGGCGGCAUGCCUAACACAUGCAAGUCGAACGGGAGUAGCAAUACUCUAGUGGCGGACGGGUGAGGAAUACGUAGGAAUUUGCCCUUAAGUGGGGGAUAACCCGGGAAACCCGGAUUAAUACCGCAUGACCUCGAAGAGCAAAGUGGGGAUCGCAAGACCUCACGCUUUUGGAGAAGCCUACGUCGGAUUAGCUAGUUGGUGAGGUAAUGGCUCACCAAGGCGACGAUCCGUAACUGGUCUGAGAGGAUGAUCAGUCGACACCGGAACUGAGACACGGUCCGGACUCCGUACGGGAGCGAGCCAGGUGGGGAAUAGUUGGACAAGUGGGCGACAAGCCUGACUCCAGCAAUCGACCGCGUAGUGUAGAAGACGGUCCGUUUACGGUUAGUAAAGGCGUAACGUUUAAGGUUAA